CAAAUGAAUUGACGGGGCCGCGACAAGCGGUGGAGCAUGUGGUUAAUUCGAAGCAACGCGAAGAACCUUACCAGGUCUUGACAUCCCCUGACAACCCGAGAGAUCGGGCGUUCCCCCUUCGGGGGACAGGGUGACAGGUGGUGCAUGGUUGUCGUCAGCUCGUGUCGUGAGAUGUUGGGUUAAGUCCCGCAACGAGCGCAACCCUCGACCUUAGUUGCCAGCAUUCAGUUGGGCACUCUAAGGUGACUGCCGGCUAAAAGUCGGAGGAAGGUGGGGAUGACGUCAAAUCAUCAUGCCCCUUAUGACCUGGGCUACACACGUGCUACAAUGGGCGGUACAAAGGGUCGCGAACCCGCGAGGGGGAGCCAAUCCCAAAAAGCCGCUCUCAGUUCGGAUUGCAGGCUGCAACUCGCCUGCAUGAAGCCGGAAUCGCUAGUAGUCGCGGAUCAGCAUGCCGCGGUGAAUACGUUCCCGGGCCUU
rnacentral:rRNA from 1 species